GAACAGUCACUGAAGGCAUUUAAGUAAGUUGCAUGAGAAAAUAACAGAUUCCCAUGGCUCUUAAUCUUGCUACAUUGCCAUGAUGGUUAAUAUUGAGUAUCAACUUGAUGGAAUUGAAGGAUGCAAAGUGUUGUUCCUGGGUGUGCCUGUGAGAUUGUUGCCAAAGGAGAUUAACAUUUGACUCGGUGGAUUGGGAAAGGCAGACCCACCCUCAAUCUUGAGUGGGCAUAAUCUAAUUGGCUGCUAGUGUGGCCAGAAUAAAAGUAGCAGAAGAAUGUGAAAAGACUAGACUGGCUUAGUCUUCCAGCCUACAUCUUUCUCCCGUGCUGGGUGCUUCCUGCCCUCAAACAUUGGACUCCAAGUUCUUCAGUUUGGGGAAUUGAACUAGCUUCCUUCCUCCUCAGCUUGCAGACAGCCUACUGUGGGACCUCACCUCAUGAUCAUACUCCUUCUACAUCUGUUGUUCAAGGUUCAGACUCAAUAUGCAACUAAUUUAUGAAGCCCGUUUAGACCACAACAACCCUGAUGCAAGAUGUUCUCCACUAUGUUAAGAUGCAGCAUGAAGCCCUUACCAGAAGCUAAGAGUAUUCCGUUAGAGCAACACAAAACAGACUAAGACAACUUGUUCAUUACUGAUGUACAGAUUUCACUGACCAGCAACACUCCAGUGAAACUGCAGUCAAAAUUUAUGGAGUCUGCAGUAAAUAUGAAGCUAAAGUAACAGCACUCUCCAGGAAAAGCUGCCUGCUAGAUAACAUGAAGACACGCCAGCAGCCUCAUGGGGGUGGAGGGAAGAGAGGCCUCAUGGUGAGGGACUGAGGCCUCCUACUAAAAGCCAGCACUAACUUGUCAGGCAUGAAAGUGAGCCACCUGGAAGCACAUCUUCAGCCCCUGUGGACCCUUUAGAUGACUGCAGGCCCUGCUGACAUCUUGACUGAAACCUCAUGAGACAGCUAGAACCAGAAUCGCCCAGAGAGAAGAACAUCAAAGGUGCGGGUUUAGGGCCCAGAAAGCCACUGGCCCCUUAAUAUCCAGAAAAGGACAAAAACUCACGGGAGUCAAGCACUGUUUGCCUGGAAGAAGAAAGAUAAAGACACAGACAAGCCCUGCUCCCCCACCAGCCAAAACUACUAUUCUACCUGUUUCCUGAUUCUGACCCACGUAUAUUCACUUGUUUCAUCAUUUUCUCAUUCAAAAAUAUAUUCAUUCAAUUAAUAAUGAUUUACUGAGUGUGUAUUAUGUAGCCAGUGCUUGCAUGGAACUCAGAUUACAGCUGGAAAUGAAACAGAUCUGGUCUUACACCCUCUGUACAUCUUCUUCCUCCUGUUACCACUCUAUCCUGUCUUCAACCUCAACUUCACUACUAAUUUCAUACUUAA
rnacentral:lncRNA from 10 species